GGAGAGGUGCCAGAGCGGUCGAAUGGGCGUCCCUGGAAAGGACGUAUGUCCGAAAGGGCAUCAAGGGUUCGAAUCCCUUCCUCUCCG
rnacentral:tRNA from 1 species